rnacentral:rRNA from 1 species
AUUGAACGCUGGCGGCAGGCCUAACACAUGCAAGUCGAGCGGAUGAGGGGAGCUUGCUCCCUGAUUUAGCGGCGGACGGGUGAGUAAUGCGUAGGAAGCUGCCCGAUAGAGGGGGAUACCAGUUGGAAACGACUGUUAAUACCGCAUAAUGUCUACGGACCAAAGUGUGGGACCUUCGGGCCACAUGCUAUCGGAUGCGCCUACGUGGGAUUAGCUAGUUGGUGAGGUAAUGGCUCACCAAGGCGACGAUCUCUAGCUGGUUUGAGAGGAUGAUCAGCCACACUGGAACUGAGACACGGUCCAGACUCCUACGGGAGGCAGCAGUGGGGAAUAUUGGACAAUGGGCGCAAGCCUGAUCCAGCCAUGCCGCGUGUGUGAAGAAGGCCUUCGGGUUGUAAAGCACUUUCAGCGAGGAGGAAGGGUGGUGUGUUAAUAGCACAUCAUUUUGACGUUACUCGCAGAAGAAGCACCGGCUAACUCUGUGCCAGCCGCCGCCUAAGAC